rnacentral:rRNA from 1 species
UCGGGAAUAUUGCGCAAUGGAGGAAACUCUGACGCAGUGACGCCGCGUGCAGGAAGAAGGUUUUCGGACUGUAAACCUCUUUUGUCGGGGAGUAAUAGGCGGGACGUGUCCUGCUGUGAGAGUACCCGAAGAAAAAGCAUCGGCUAACUCCGUGCCAGCAGCCGCGGUAAUACGGAGGAUGCGAGCGUUUAUCCGGAUUUAUUGGGUUUAAAGGGUGCGCAGGCGGCGUGCCAAGUCAGCGGUCAAAGUUCCGGGCUCAACCCGGUGAUGCCGUUGAAACUGGUGUGCUUGAGUGCGUGCGAGGGAGGCGGAAUGCGUUGUGUAGCGGUGAAAUGCAUAGAUAUGACGCAGAACUCCGAUUGCGAAGGCAGC